AACGAGGCCACUCCCGCUCGGCACCCUCGGUCCUUUAUUGUUGACUCGAAGCUCCCAAAAUGGCGGACGCUCCUUCCUCCUCGGAAACCUCCGCCCGCCCCCACCCAGCCCUCUCGCUACGGCCUCCUCUCGCCCCCGCCCCCGCCCCGCUCCGAGGGGCGCGCAGGCCAGCCGCCCGAGCCGCCGGCUCCCCCGGCUGUCCAGCCCUACCUCCUCCGCUGCCCGCUCUCGUGGCGCCGCCGAAGUCGCCGCCUGGCUGAGCUAACUCGGCUCCUCUGCCCCCUCCCUCGCUCGCCCGUUCGCCCGCCCGCCGCCUCCUCCCUCUUUCCCUGCCUCUCCGCAUGGCGGCGACCGCGGCUCCUCCUCCACUCAAGAUGGCGAAACCUCGGCCGCCGCGGCUAUAUUCGCCGCGGCGUCACUGCCUUCCUGGCCUGGUGGUGAGAGGAAGUCGGGCCGCGAAAGCUUCCUGAGGAGAAAAUGGAGGGCCCUUCUCUCACACCGACGAGAAAAGUUCGAGGGGGAAAUACGAGUUCCUUUCUGAAGGGACAGGACGGCUGCUUUUCCACAGCCGCGACGUGAUUGAGAAAUGGUGGCUGGCAAGGGUAGGCCUGCCUUCGCCCCUCCAAAGUAAAAAUCGGGAGUUGAGACCAGAGGAACAUCUCUUUAUUACAUGACUAAGGAUAUGUUUUGAAAACUGGCCCCCGGGCAGCUGCUCGGGGACAGGAAGCUGACCUGACUUCUCCAGCUGGCCGGGGAGGCCGCACCAGGCAGGAGGGAGGACUCCAGAGAGUGCGCGGGGGGCGCUGCGCGGUGGGACGGGGCGAGCCUGUAGGGCGCGCCUGGCGGCGGCUCUGGGCCAAUCAGAGAAAGCCAAAUGUGCUCCUCACACCAAUCGCGUAAGAAGCCCUGCUUCUAGUAUAGCCCUCCUCCAACUUCCCGAUGCCAACAUCCUCCAAUCAGAGCCAACCUGAAGUUUCUCCCUUUUUUCAGUAUAUGUAAAGCUUUUCCACUCCCCUGCCUGCCUAUGAGUCUGUUAAAUCAAGUGAUGGGUCGCGGCUGACUCUUGCCAGCUCUGAGUAAAUAGCCUAUUCUCAUUUGGUGGUCGUUAUUUCUACACAGCCGGUGGGAAGGUGGUGGAGAAUAGUGAAGACUAUUCUUAAGGUUAAAAAGAAGGUUCGGCUUACAUUUUUUUUUUAUUUUAAAUUUACAGCAUGGCGUCUCCAGCCCAGGUUUUAAAAUACCUUCUAAUGUAAGGAAAUAGCCCUGCACCUUGUGCCCAUCCUAGAGAGAAAAUGGUUUCUUAAUAAAAAAUGUAUGAGGCCUUUUUUGCCCCAAUAUCUUCCCAAGCAGAGGAAUGUGAAGGGGGGUUGGGCCAAGAAGUGAGUGGUAGGAAGAGAGGCCUACGGAUUUAAAACAGGCCACUGCUUGGAGGGGUGUCUUUCCUAAACCACUGAAGAAAUUGAACCAGGCAAAGGAAGGGGGUUCACACCCACAAAUAAACUAUAACCUACAAAAGGAGCCCGGGUUCACAUCCACAAAUAAAUUGUAACCUACACAAGGAGUCUGGUUGAGGUCACAAAACAAAAGCCAGGAGGCAACCAAAAGUAGAAUAUGAAAUAGGUGCUGCCUUCUCACCUAGGAAUCCUUCCAGGGCUAAAACCUUCAAAUAUUCUGCUUUUAAGGUAGUCAGAUACCCUCACAACUCAUUUACAUCAGCCCUUCUCUGUUUUCAAGUGAGAAGCAUAGAUGGUUUAGAAUUAAGCUAUGAACUCUUGGAUCUUUUCUUCCAAGUUUAGUGUUAGUGGUAGAUAGGUCUAGUCCAACUAUCUCAAUACAUUGUUUUCUCCCUAGUUAAAACAGAUUUGCAAGAAUCAUUUGUAUGACACUUUAGGAAUACAGAUAAAUUGCUAGUGCAAAUAAUAUCCUUAUAUUUAUAAAAUAUAUGUGUACUUUUAAAAAAGUUAUAUGAAUCCAAUCCUCUGGCCUUUUAGUUAGUAUUGAGUGUGAUAGUUGUGGGAGAUCUGUAGUAAAUACGGUUUCUGAAGGGUGUGCUAUCAUCCCUAAUGAACUCACCUAUUAAUUGUGGUAAAGAGUUUUUCACUUGGGCUGGGCACGGUGGCUCACGCCUGUAAUCCCAGCACUUUGGGAGGCCGAGGCAGGUGGGUCGACUGAGGUCAGGAGUUCCAGACCAGCCUAGCCAACAUGGUGAAACCCCGUCUGUACUAAAAAAAAAAAAAAGAAAAAAAAUAGCUGGGCAUGGUGGCAGGUGCCUGUAAUCCCAGCUACUUGGGAGGCUGAGGCAGGAGAAUCCCUUGAACCUGGGGAGGCGGAGGUUGCAGUGAGCCAAGAUCGUGCCAUUGCACUCCAGCCUGGGCAACAAGAGCAAAACUCCGUCUCAAAAAAAAAAAAAAAAAGAAAAAGAAAAAGAAAUGAAAAAAAAAGUUUCCCAACAUGUAUUAGCCGUUUUCAUGUUGUCUGUAUUCACCUUUGCGUCAUCACCCCUCUUCAAUUUCCUCCUGGAAUUCAAUCACAGUAAUGGGUUAUCUCAGCAUAUAUUAUUCGCCAGUCUCACAUCCUGACCUCAUUUAUUUACCUAAAAAUAACCAGAACGAAAAAAAAAUCACAGAUUAAUUUACACUUGAUUUCACUUUAACUUCAAUUUAAAAUACUUAGAAUCCAGAAUUCCUAGUAAGUUGAACCUGGAAUACGCAGACCUGUGAUAAUAUCUUAAACACUCAAAUGUUUUCAACUUGCUGAAAUGGAGUUCACACUUUUAACAUUCUGGGCUUUUUUUUUAAAAGGGACUAUAAUACUUUAAC
rnacentral:lncRNA from 10 species